rnacentral:lncRNA from 1 species
UUUUUUUUUUUUUUUUUUUGUGUGCUUGUUGGACAUCAUUUAAUCUCAUUAACACAAGCAAAGCAGAGGCUGAGCAUUAACCCAAGUUUCCAAGUAUUUCUUCUUCCAUGGCCAAGCUUAAUACUACCAAAAUCUAAUUCAACCGGCAGGAAUAUCAAUUAGAUGAUCAUGAAACCCUAUUCAACUUUUAUUAUACACUCCCGAUUCCCCUAUCGGCUUGAAGUCUUUCUUAAGAAAAAGAAAAAGAAAACAAACCAGGCUUAAUUUGUUUGAUGAAACCAUAAAGCUCAAGCAUAAGCUAUAUAUUUCGGAGAAAAUAAUAGUUUGGCUCCCGCGCUAGAUGUACGAAAACAAAAAAUGCACGAGCUAACAAAAAGUCAUUGGAGCCACCAGCCCACCACCAAGAACUUAAGUGACAUAAGUUGUCGGCAAUGUGGAAGGUUAAGAGUUCAAUUCUUACCUCCCAUCAAAUUUGUCACUAUAUAUCGCUGCCUUCAGUGGCUUUCUCUAAUGGUGAUUUAACUUCCACAGACUCUCUCUCCCCUUAGAUUAGGAUAGAUUAUAUUAUAGAAAUAUUAUCAUUGUAAUAAAAAAAAAAAACAGAAAGUCAUUGGCAACCCGCCAAUUAAAGAACGUGCGUAACUAAUUUAUCCGUUAAUAACAAAAUGAAAAGUCAAAAUACACGUUAUACAAUCCACAUGGUUUCAUCUGAUGAUGACAAAUGCAUUAAGUGCUACACAUGUUUCGUGUAACGCGAACAAAGUUUCCUAAAGGUUUCACCAAAGUUUCUGCUUGACAUCAUGGAAUAUGCCCAUUGGCAGCAACCAAAUUUUUAUAUUAAAAAUUUUAUAUUUGCGAAUAAAAUCAAAAAAUGGACCAAGUUACUCAAUUUGAGCUCGAAUUGCUAAGAGAUCAUUGAGUUUGGUCCGUCAGCUAAAUUCGAACCAAGCUCGACUCGCUUAGCAUAUAUAAUGGAGCCUUUGAGAUGUACAUGUAUAAAACUCAAUCAAACUUAGCUUGAUUAAUGAAUAAGUCAAAUUUAAAUACAAUUUUAAACUCCUUAACACAGAUAGACAAGCUUGAGCAUUUGAUUGCUAAUUAGACUCAUUCACACUUCUGUUUCUGAUUUAAGAUUUUUGAAAAUUUUCUGAGAUAAAAGUAAACUAUAAAAAACAUUUCUACAUGAUAUCAAAUUCUCAAGCUUGGGGGCAAGUAAUUUAUAUUAUAAUAACUUCUUACGGUUAAAUUAUUAAUAUAAAUAAAAAUUUUAAAAUUCAUAGAGGGCAAAUGAAAUUGUCAAAUUUGAGAUUGUGUGCAUUGAAUAAUCCGUUGGUCAUGUGAAUGUAAUGUUGUUCAAAAACACAAGAAUUUCCAAGUGUAGAAGUGGAAUAUUAGUCGGCGACAAAUACAACAUCGUGGCUCGAUUGUGACCUGAACUCAUGUUAUAUUAUUUUUGUUAUCCAUUAAAUUUUACGACCAGGCAAGUGUGAAAUGAGGUCCCGAAUCGUAGGAAAGCUCCAAGAGUAAGCAAGAAUUAGACUUGGAUAAAAAGCCACAUCCUAAAAGCUAUGAAUUAAACACGAAGCUUCGGCUUAGAAAAGGUCACCGCGUAACUUGAACCGGCGUUCCACUCCUCCCCUGCCGCUUAUUACUAUAGAUAGAUUGGUACGCAUAUUAUUAUCAUUUUUAUUUAUUAAAUUGAAUGAUAAAACAAAUUAUGGAAGCACAAAUAAUUAAAAAAUGGUGUGUAAAUAAUAUUUUUCAAAAUAAAUAAUUCUAACCGACUUCUACUUGUGCAGUUGUGCUUGUGCUCUAAGGGUUUGAAAAUAGCCAAAUACAGAAAGAUAGCUAUAUUUGGAUAGCAAAUUUUUCCAAAAAAAUUUUUGCUAGCAUCAUAAGCGUAUUUCUCAAUUCACCUUUUUAUAUUCUCAACCGCCUUUUUAUCUCACAUACAUCAUAUCACAAAAAUAUAUUUGCUGAUCAUAACACUCUUCUAUAUGUGUUUGGAAAAUGUUAGAUUGUUUGGGAGAAUUUUUUUGAAAAAGUACCGUAAUACUUUUUCAGUGUAAUAUAUGUGAGAUAAAAAAAAUGGUCGAAAAAUAUAUUAAUCAUUCGAGCAAAUAAUCUCUAUAUUAUAUAUACUGAUAGUGUAUACGCUAUCAUCAUUGAAUCUAUGAUAUACAUGCAAAAGCUAGAGUUCAAAUUCAAAUUUUACAUAAUUAUCAUUCAUCCAAAACUGACAAUAUAUACAUUAUUAAAUGUAGGAAAGAUUAGAGUCCAUUUGGAUUGCUAUUUUUAGGAUUUUUUUUUUGUCAAAAAAUAUACUAUAGUAAUUUGGUAUAUAUAAGAUAAAAAAAUAACUGAAAAAUAUAUUUAUGAAAACAUAAAAAUUUUUCUCCCGAAAAUCACAGUCCAGAAUCUUCUUCCAAACAACACAGAAGUACAUGAAGAAUACAGAGAAUGUCAUUCAUGGUACCAAGGAAAACUCCCAGAAAGUAAAAAAAAAAAAAGUCAAGCAGUCAACCAAUACCUUCAUUCCACGCGUUCUAGGUGGAAGUAAGUAGCAGUCCUAAGUGUUGGCCUGUGAUUAAUCUAUCCAAAUUUUUUCACAAAAAAAAAAAAAAAAAAUGAAGAAGUACUCUUUAGACUUGAGACUUUCCCAGUCCCCACGCGGCCACACUCGUCAGUUAAUUGAAGAUAAAUCUGCCAAAGGUUCUAGAUUUGUUAAACAAACCCCUGAAGGAAAACUAUUACUCUACUGUAGUUUUCCCAGCCACCGACUCAGACCGUUACCUACCUUAUUAGUUUCCAGUUGUAGUCAGCAACCAAAACCUGACGGCUACUCAUUUUACAUUUUUUCCCUUUGAGGCAGGAUAUUUUUUUUUUACCAUAAGCCCGAAGACUUUUCGAGGCAGGAUAUUUGAUUCACACAUAAACACACACACACACACACACACACACACACACACACACACACACAUAUAUAUAUAUAUAUUAUAUAAUAAUAAUAAUACAGUACUAACAAGCUUACUAGAUACACAUUGAUUUCUUAGUUUACAAGGAAACAAUAAAGGGAUCAUGGGAAAGUAUGCAGAAAAUUCACUCCCUCAACUUCAUCACAUACGUACUGCAAUUUCAGUUGUCCACUCCUGCUUUUGUCAUCAACUACUAGAAGCCUACUGCCUUGUAUAUAUAUAACACAACUUCAAACUAUACUCGUCAUAACUUUUAUUAGUCCUGCUUCUGCCAGGGGAAUAUAUGUAUCAUUAGACCUACUCAGUUUCUUGAGCACAUAAAUUAGUACCGCUAUACUAGAUGACCGUAAAGAGAAGCAGAGAAGACAGGAAGGUUGAGGCAUUCGCCAUGGCCAAUUGCUUGAUGCUCCUCUCUAACAUGGCCAAACACUACUUCCUCUCCUCCGUCGUUGGACGCGAGUUUUCACUUGCAAAACGUGUAACAAGCAGUUUUCAUCGUUCCAGGCGCUCGGGGGCCACCGGGCUAGCCACAAAAGGACUAGACUGGUGGCUGCAGAUGGCCUUCAUGAUCAGAAUCACUCACCUGCUAAGCCAAAGACGCAUGAAUGCUCCAUCUGUGGCCUUGAGUUCCCUUUAGGCCAAGCUCUAGGAGGGCAUAUGACGACAGACCACCGUAAUGAUGGUACAGCCGGUGAUAAAUCCGAAGAAACACAGUCAGGUUUCAGAAAUCCAAUAGCCAUAGCGAUAGUCAUAGAGCUUUGCUGUUAGAUUUGAACUUAACCCUCGUGAGAAUGAAUUCAAGUUUGGUAGGUUGGAUUCUUUUAUGUAAAAUUUCCUAACUUUUUCUAGUCAUCGGAGUAGUUCUUUCCCCUUUUUAAUUUUGGAUGCAGCUCUUGUUCAUUCAUUCUCGACACAUGUAUAUACAUACAGAGGCGUAUAGAGAGCUAUUAUUCUGGUGUAGUGGAUACAGUAGACAGUUUGUUUUCUUGUCUGGUGGGGAAUAGCAUUAUCGACUCUUUAUUCUCGAAUCAGACCGAUACUUCUUGAAGUCCUCUAUUUAAUAUUGUUCUUCAAGGGCAGUGCAAAAUACUGAAAACAUCAAUUUCUAUCUUUGUCAAGACUGACUGAAACUGAUGUUGCCACAAUCCAAGAAACUGAAAUUCGAUGACAUAUUUCAAGGAACUCAAAUGAUAUCCAUAAAACAAACAUGGUGUCCCACAAAAUUUUAGCAUCAAAUCGUCGAAUUUCAAGAGCUGAUUUUUAUCUUUAUGGUAAACUACAACUCCUCCCAGUGCUGGGAAGUACAUCUGAUCGAUACACAGAAUCCCAGACACUUUCUUGCUGUUGGAUGACUUGUAACAAGUUCUGUGCUAGCCCCUGAAGGGAGAAAUUUGAACAACAGAAAAUUACUUACAAUUACAUAAGAAUCUCAAUAGCGUAACCAGCAACAACAAAAUUCCCCAAAUGCUUCACAUUGGGCUUGGCAGGCAGGAAUUAUUACGACUUAGGCAAUGCAUCGCUUGAGAAGAACGAUCCUGGUUCAAACUUCAUACGCCUCCUUCUUCGGAAAUUUCUUGGACCAUUUUUCAUGGCAACAUCAUCAUGGUUCCAAUUCCACGUAUUUAAGAAAGAACGAGCCAUUUACUUCUAAGAAAGAAGCCAAGCUUCAGUAAUCGAUAAUUUGACAUCCCAAAUUCUCAGCAGUUUGGGUUGGUAUAAAUUCUUUUUCUUGCUGCAGCCGUUGUAGCCUCUGUUGUUGAUGCAUGUAGUAUGCAUAUGCCUGACAUUUUGGAUCAAGAUUUGCAUAGCAAUGCAUAUGAGAGUGGCCUAGUUGCUCCACGAUUUUCUGCUACACAAGUUUUCACAGAACACGGAAACAAGGGAAACGAAGAUAACAAGUUCAAGUUUUUGACGAAAAAAAAUGAAGAAAAAUAGAAAAAUUAAUAUUUUCGCAGAGCUUGAUUGCAUAUGCACACGAGACAGUGCAUGCCCAAAUUCUCCACAUUGGGCUUGGCGGGCAGAAAUUACUACGGCUUAGGCAAUUCAUCGCUUGAGAAGAACGAUCCUGGUUCAAACUUCAUCCGCCUCCUUCUUCCGAAGUUUCUUGGACCAGUAUUCUUGGCAACAUCAUCAUGGUUCCAAUUCCAAUUCCACGUAGUUAAGAACGAGUCAUCUACUUCUAAGAAAGAAGUCAAUCUCCGGUAAUCGAUAAUUGGAUGUCCCAAAUUCUGAGCAGUCUGGGUUCGCACAAAUUCUUUUUCUUGCUGCAGCCGUUGUAGUUUCUGUUGUUGAUGCAUGUAGUAUGCAUAUGCCUGAGUGUUUGGAUCAAGAUUUGCAUAGUAAGGCACAUGAGAGUAGCCUGGUUGCUCCAUGAUUUUCUGUUAACGCAAGUUUUCACAGAACACGGAAACAAGGGAAACGAAGCAAACAAGUUCAAGUUUUUCGCAGAGCUUGAUUGUAUAUAAAGUUACAGAUGCACGAGACGAUGCCUCUCAUUUCGAUAUGAAUGUGAUCAGGAAUCUUGCAACUAUGGAAUUUGCCAAAAUUUGUGUACUUUCCUAAAGCCGGGGCGAUCUCACGGCCCAUUAGGCCCAGAUUAACUUCUAAUCACAUUAUUAGAAACACCUAACCUAAUACAUGAAUUUCAUACAGAAAUUGGAUUAAUUGUCGAUUGUUGCCCCCUUCUAUUAAAAAUGAAUUUUUAGCGGCUUCAUCCAUCCCUGCCCUGUUGGAUUAGUUUUCAUACAAAAUCGGAUUAAUUGGGAAAAAAAUGGUGGUGGGGGAGCACUUGAGAUUCUCGGUGACAUGUUUUCUAUGCCAACCCAAUGCCACCAAUAAUAUUGUGCCAAGUGUCAUGUUAUUGGGUGCUACUCGCAUCGAAUCGGAAGAGGAGGACGAGGAUGGGGUAGAAAUGGGUUGGCAAGACAGGAGCGGGGAGGAUAAAAAAAUUUUAAAAAAAAAAUAUCUCAAUGAAGUGUUAAAACUUUAAAAUACUCUUACAAUAAAAAGUUUUUUUCAAUAUACAAAGUGAAAGUAAUUUGUUUUUAAAAUGCAUCUCUAAAAAUAUUUCCGUGCUAAUCUUUAUUUAUUUUUUACAAGGAUAGCCACGGGCUCAUCAGCAUGAAUCAUAAUUUUUCAUGAAAAAAUUAUUAUAACAAUUUGAUGUAUGUGAAAGAAAAAAAUUAUAGAAAAAUAUGAUCACGAAAAAUAAUGUAAUUUUCUGAUGAAAAAUUGCAAUCCAAACGAGGCCCGUUUCCUGGUUUUGGGAGAGUUAUUUCCAGGUUUGCUUGCUUGAGGCUAAAACUUUUCUCGCCACAAGUGAAAGUUUGAAAAAUCUUACAUGUGAUCAUUCUAUGAAUACCUUCCAUCGUUUACCUUUUUUGGUCCUAGCAUAUCAAUUGACACGUGUUGAGUAGCGUGAGAGCAAGAAGGGAUCGGAUAGAAUUUGACGGGUCGAGCUUCCAACCUGCAAUGACAGCACAACAAUUAGGGCUGAAUGGGCAAUGACUUCGACGUCAAAGUCAAACGAUGAAGAGUUUGGGAGUUGAAAGAUGAGCCCGGAAGCCGCUGAUGAGAAGUUGUCUGUGGGUGUGAGCACCGAUCUCGCAAAUCGAAAAUGGCAUGACAGCCAUAGGGUCAGACCCUAGGCGCGUAGUAUCUGUAUCUGCCAAGUGUCAGAUUUGGUGUCAAAUGCGGGUGUUGGUCACGUGCUUACGUAAAACGGUUCAGUCGGUCUGAGCACAUCCAAGACUUCGAUAACCGCUUCUAGAACCGGAGGUGGCGACUGAGUGGUUCCAUAAGUAGUACGUUGUUGGCCUAUUUCACAAAUUUUUCAAAUACAAAGUGAUAGGAAUAUACAAACAAAAAUAAUUUUAAAGACACCUAAUUCAUGCAGUGCCUCAAAAAAUAACUUAUAAAUAUACAAAAUAAAAAAAAAUUCUUCCACCUACCACCACCAUCACCACGCCCUCCCUCCUCCUUCUCCCUCUUCUUCCUCCUCCUCGUUCCCUCCCUUCCUUCACUCCGCCAAAUCUAACCUCGACCAAAUCUCAACAAAAAGGUGGCAAAAAUACUCCAAAAUAUAUCCCAAAAACACCUGUAAAAAUACCACCAAAAAUAUCUAUAUCAUCUACAAUAAAAGUUUUUCAUAUAUAUUAUUACAAUAAAAUUUUUCAAAAUUACGUCUAAAAACAAUUAAUCCAUUAAUUGAAAUCUAAUGAAUUUUAAUCACAAUUUGUUGUUUUAAAAAAAAAAUUUCCACAAUAAAAUACUAGACUUUUCAAAUAUCUUAAUAUAAUAUACAUCUUGCACACCUAAUCAACAAGCAAGUUCCUAUGGCGUUUGGCGUUGGCCAGAAAAAUGUAGUCCCUGAUGGGACAAAUCUGAAUACAACAAACCACACGAGAAUAGAAACAAGAGUAGUUCUACAAGUAAGUUACAUAUACGCAAGUCAGUCAAAUGACUCUCGUGAAUUCAUUUUGUGAGAACAACAAGAGCUUAAUUUAUUUACGUAUGCAACUUUAAGUUUCAUCAGUGGUCCGCUAUUGCUCUUUGCACAAAUAUAUUUGGAUGAUGUAAUGAUAAAUACUUGAAAAUGCUGAGCCGGCCGGCCGUGUACUUCAAAAUUUGGAUGACGUAUGGAUAUAGCAACUAGCAACCACUUAAAAUACUACUACUGAAUUUUGCUAAUUUCCCACAAGGACCGAACUGAGCUUAUGUUAGAUAUAAUUUCGCUAGCAAAUCAAAAGUGGGUUCAAGAAGUCACUUCUGAUCAGAAACUUUUCUUUGAUGAAGAGAAGUAUUUCCCAUCAAGGUUUUCGACAUUUACCUUUUUGUUUUAUUAAUAUUAGUUGUCAUUUUCGUCAAUUGGUGCAGCUGAUGCAAUAGCUGAUAUGGUCAACUUCUCACCAUCCUACAACGACGACGUAUGUGGAUUUGAACUGUCAAAAGCAAGCACAACAAAUGGGAUAGUUUCAACUGUCAAAUCAUGUACCAGUUACUACUACUUAUACUAUCACGUAGAAACCGGAAAUAUAUUGGCUAAUUUAAUGAACUCAUGAGAUAUUGGUUAUAGAAUGUUCAUGAUAUAUUGGUUAUAGAAUGUUCGUAGGUACCUGGAAUGUGGGAGGGAAACCAGCAGAGGUUGGAGUGGAUUUGAAAGAUUGGACACAAGCACAUAAUAUCCCUCCUGAUUUAUAUAUUUUUGGGUACGCACUCCUUUUGCUUCUUAUUACUGUUCCCUCCCCCAAAGUUGCUUUAAGAGGAUCUCUUAUGUGAACAAAUCUUUGACUUCAUUCUUGCUUAUGAGCAUUAUCCUGUUUCACCAGUUUCAAAUUUAUCAGUUUCAGCAGUAAGCCUUACUGCAGGAACGUAAAACUGCAGCAGCUUUUUAUAGUAACAUGUGCACUUCAUAUUCCCAUAAGGUACACCUAAUCUGCAUUUAGCAAGAAAACAGAUUUAGUUCCAUACUAGCGAAUCCCUGCUUCGUCCCAGAAGGAUUACACAAGGUGGCCAUGCUUGUGAAAUGUGGAAUCCAGCAAUUUGUGUUCCCUGGAGGAUAGGAGAAAUGCACUAAAAUUUGGUGGAGGGGAAUUUUCAUAUUGAUGAAACAGUUUGAUUCCCAUUUUCUUGUACUAGCAUAGUGAGUACUAUGUAAUUUAAAUUUUCCACGAGAAAGAUUUGUCCACUCACACGCAAAUAAUUCUCCCCUUUAGGUUCCAGGAAAUCGUGCCUCUAAAUGCAGCUAAUGUCUUGGGUGUAGAGGAUGGCAAUCCUGCUGCAAAUUAAGUGGCUGUCCCUAGUUCGCCAGGUUCUAGAUAGUGGUGGGCAAGGAGACCAGGAUGCCGGCCACAACAUUAAAAGCGUAAACAAUUUGUGUCCUAAAUAUGGCCGAAUAGCUGGUGAUAAAUCCAGAAUCUGUUCUUCAGAUAUGUUGUUCCUGAAUGAAUCUAGUCAAAUUAAGCAACAAAGUUCAAGUCCCAAGACAAUUAGCGGGGGCGAACCAGUAUAUAUAUUGUUUGGCAGCCAGCUAGCAGAUGGUUGGCAUAUUGUUAUGUGUAUGGGUUCGAGCUGAAAUUUACCAGCAAGUAACCAACUUAAAGGUAUCUUGCGUGGGUACAGGCAUCAUGGGUUACAUGGGCAACAAGGUUAGCAUAUGCAGUCGAUGCACUUUCUUGCUGAUGAAUAAUGUAAUAACAAAAGAAAGAAAGCAGUUUUGGACCAAGGUAUCCAAGGCAAAAUGGUACUUCUCAAUCACAUCACUAACUUGAACAGCCUCUUAAUUGGCAAUUUGCAGGGAUCUGUGUCUAUCACUAUGACACUGUAUCACACCUCUUUCUGCUUCGUUUGCACACAUUUGGCCUCUGGUGAGAAAGAAAAUGACAGAAUCCAUGAUGUUUUGGAAAUUCUUUGUAGGACAAAUUUUUUGCUCUCCCGAAAGAGUCUUGAAAAACCAUCCUUUCCCGGCCAUAUAUUGGAACAUGAGUAAGUAUUUAUCUUGUGUACGACAAAUAAGCAUACGGUACAGUAGUUUUUCCUGCAAUUUUCCUGAUGUUUUUGUGUGGUGGGAAUUGGUUAUUGUUCGUUGCUGCAAUAUCUUUUGGGUUGGGGAUCUGAAUUACAGAUUGGCAUCUGGCUAUGAUGAUACUCCUGAACUGCUGAAAAAACAUGAAUGGCAGUCCCUUCUUGAAAGAGAUCAGAUGACAAAUUAGAGUGGACUUCGGAAUGUCUAAUUAUCCUCUUCUUAAUUUCUGUUUGAAUCUUGAAUAAGCUUAUCAGUUGGACUGGACUUGCAAUUCUGAUAGCGUUUGCGGUGGCAUUGACAGCUUUUAGUCGAACAGAGAGUUGGAUGAGUUAUUGAAAGAUGGCAAGAGGGACAGAUACAUUUUCUCCCACAUACAAGCAUCUCAUCAACUCUGACACAUUACGUGAAUCAGAUCUUUAAACAUAAGCAAAAAACUCCCUCUCCGCCUGGCAAGUAUUCUAGCCUCUCUAGUCAAUUUUCGUUGAUUUCCUCCAUUGCAUCUUCUGAUAAUUGUUUUCAUUGAUAUCAAGUAAUGGACAGAGUAUUGCUAUUAGUCAAAUUGACAAAGUUAGAGAAAUGUAUCAAAAAGGUGAACCUCCACUGAGAACAAAGCACGGAUACUGGAAGAGUCAUCUUCGAAGGACGAAAUCAUUUGCCACAAAACUAUAUCACAAAUUGGCAUUUGUGCCUUUGUGUGACAUCCUUUCUAUCUGUCACGCUAGUUACGGGACAAGUAAAAUAUGUUCAUGCUAAUGAGAAGAUAAAUUGGCGCACGGCAGUCCCUUCUUGAAAGAGAUCAGAUGACAAAUUAGAGUGGACUUCGGAAUGUCUAUUAUCCUCUUCUUAAUUUCUGUUUGAAUCUUGAAUAAGCUUAUCAGUUGGACUGGACUUGCAAUUCUGAUAGCGUUUGGGUGGCAUUGACAGCUUUUAGUCGAACAGAGAGUUGGAUGAGUUAUUGAAAGAUGGCAAGAGGGACAGAUACAUUUUGCUCCCACAUACAAGCAUCUCAUCAACUCUGACCAUUACGUGAAUCAGAUCUUUAAACAUAAGCAAAAAAACUCCCUCUCCCGCCUGGCAAGUAUUCUAGCCUCUCUAGUCAAUUUUCGUUGAUUUCCUCCAUUGCAUCUUCUGAUAAUUGUUUUCAUUGAUAUCAAGUAAUGGACAGAGUAUUGCUAUUAGUCAAAUUGACAAAGUUAGAGAAAUGUAUCAAAAAAGGUGAACCCUCCACUGAGAACAAAGCACGGAUACUGGAAGAGUCAUCUUCGAAGGACGAAAUCAUUUGCACAAAACUAUAUCACAAAUUGGCAUUUGUGCCUUUGUGGUGACAUCCUUUCUAUCUGUCACGCUAGUUACGGGGACAAGUAAAAUAUGUUCAUGCUAAUGAGAAGAUAAAUUGCGCACUUUUUGUGAUUGGCUAGCUGUGACUGGAUACUAUGGCGAGGUAAAGGAAUGAAGCAGAUAAUUUAUGCAAGGGCAGAAUCAAGAUUCUCGGACCAUAGGCCUGUUUAUUUUAUCUUCUCCUCUGAAAUCGAUACAUGAAGCGCAUCCACAACACACAAGAUCAAAUCCAGCAGGACUUUUAGCUUCGAUUGUGAUGAUAAGUGCUUCAUAAUGCUCAAACAUCUAACCUGGAGGCCGGAGAUUAGUCACUAGCUAGGUAGAGGAACGAUCAAUUUCUUACAGAUCAAAGAAGCUGCUCUUAAGAAACUUAGUGGUUAACAAGGUUUAAUAGAAGAUGAAGAUGGUAUAAAUUAGUGCAAAUGUUUGAAAGAAUGCAGAAAUGAUAUUGCUCUAUCAGCAAUCAAAGCAAGAUGAGUGAUUUGCUGAGGACGGUCAGUCAUUGAGGGUAAACAUCUCCAUACCUAAUGCCAAAGUUGAUUUCCAGCUCGUCCUUGACUCAAACUUCAUUUUACUAUUUUUUAAGAAAGGGAUCUAUUCCUAUCUGUAUCACAAUCGCUUUGACUCAAUCCGUUCUCAAGCUAUGCACUGGCCAUGUGCAGUCGGACUCCAUGCAACAUAAGUUGGAAAUGAAAUUGAUCGCAAGCUCAUGCCCCUUGUGCUCGUUUUUUAUUGAGCACAUUUUUUUUUUUUUGGUAAAUAAUGAUCCAGCAUAGAUUAAAUUGUAAACUAGUUAAUUACAAUAUUCUAGGGAACCAUACUCUCCUCAAAUCCUCCAACAAAAUGGAACUUAAAAAGAGGGCGCCACUAGUCUACAAAUGAGGAAAAGGAUGACAAGUUUUCAUCCCAUAUUUUUGCUAAGAAAUCCGCUGCCCUGUUACCUUCUCUAUAUUAUAUAUGUGCUUCUAACUUCACUUCCAUAAAGCUAGAAAUGAAGGCCCUGCCUGUCACACAGAAUUGAGGAUGCUUCAUGGAGAGUUGGAUUGUAAUAAACGGCACCUAUAUAUGGAGAGUUGGCUAAGGGAACAGGACUUAGCUGCCUUGUGCAUAUAUGGUUUACUAGGGCAUAAUCAUGGAUUGCAUCUUAUAAUCUGUAUACAAAACUGUUCUUGCUAUUGUAGUAAGGCACGCUAAAGCAACACACGCCUUGAUCAACAAAACCUUUAUGAAAAGCUACAGAGUUCGUCAACUAUUUUGUUCCGACUUAGAUACACUAUUAUAUACGCGGCUUGCGUGCCAUGCCAUCAUGCAUCAUCAAGAAAUGUUUUGUCAUUGACUUUUCUUUUCUAAUUUGUUUGAGUUAUCUUGUUUUGUGAACAUUGGUGUCUUCUUUUGUUCUCCUGUGACUUGAUUCAUGCCUUCUUUCCUUUCCGUGUAAAAGAUGCCUGGGUAUGAUGCAAUAUUGAACUUAUCUUGAUUUGAACAAUUAAUUCUUCUGCUUUCGAGGUUUUUGACUAGAAAAGUAGAGCCCAUAACGAAUUAACGAUUAUUCACAAAAUUUAUAAUAAUAAUAAUAAUAAAAGAAUCCAAAAGCUACACAUAGUUGAUGAUCCAAGGCUUCAAAGUGCUGACUUUGAUAUGGCUUUGCCGUUAAUUAACAUUCUAUACGUUCGGGAUGACGGUCUGUCCCAUCAGUAUGACGAGAUGUGUGCUGUUCUACAUGUGUUCUUGUUCUUGACAAAUUAGUCAUCACGUGAUGAAGUCAAAAGCUUUUAUCCAUGGAACUCUAGAAACUUUUGUCCAUCAAAUUCUGUGGUCUCAUCCGAGAAACAAAAGAUUUAGUAGAAUCUAGUCCGUCAGCUUUAUGAGGUAAUAAGAAAUACCAUACUUUGAUUAAGUCGUUUUAAGAACAGAACUAUCUCUAUAUAUUUGCUUAUGGCAAAACUUCCCUCUUCAAAAGAGAUUCGUUUAACCUCCACUUUCUUCACACACUUUCUGUUCUUUCGCAGCAAACAUAAUAUUUUUUCCCUCGCACUUGUCUGUCAAUAAUCAAUCAAUCAAUAUACAGCAGAAGCAGUUUUGGUUUCUCUUUUUCAUAGGAAUACUAGGCGUUCCAAUGGAGCUGAUUCCUGGCCUUCCAAAUGAUGUAGCCAUCGAGUGCCUUAUUCGAGUCCCAUUCAGCCAAAUAUCAAAGGCUGCAUCUGUUUCCAAGAAUUGGAAGGCAGAAAUUCAGCUGCCAGAAUUUCGGCAGCGAAGGAAGGCUGCUGGAUUUACCCAACCCCUCAUCGCGAUGACACGAGCAGAUAGCAACCUGAAUGAGCAUAUCCGCGAUGAUGAUGACGGCGGUGCUAGACGCUUACAUCAUUACCUGCUCAAAAUCUGUGAUCCUGAACGACGCUUUUCGUACGAGGUGCCUUCGAUCCCAGGACUCUCCAAGGGUGUGCCGAUGUUUUGCCAAGUUGCAGGAGUCGGGACAAACCUGGUAGUGAUUGGCGGGUAUGACCCGGUUUCUUGGAAAACCUUGAAUUCAGUCUUUAUUUACGAUUUCCUGACCGCCACGUGGCGAGAUGGGGCUGCUAUGCCAGGUGGACAGAGAUCAUUCUUUGGCAGUGCUUCUGAUGGUGAUCAUAGGAUCCUCGUUGCAGGUGGACAUGAUGGCAACAAAAACGCACUUGCAUCUGCGCUGAUGUAUGACGUGGCCAAGAAUGAGUGGGUCGUGUUGCGUGACAUGGCGAGAGAGCGUGACGAAUGCAAGUGCAUUUUCCACCGUGGCAGAUUCCAUGUCGUUGGUGGUUACUGCACGGAUCGGCAAGGGGAUUUUGAGAGCAGUGCAGAGGCACUCGAGCUUGAUGAUGUUGACGGCUGGAAGUGGGAUGAGUUAGAAAACAUCCAUGAAAUGGAUCUAGCGUUGACCAAAAUAGAGGUUCCCGGCGGGCAUUCGGACACCGUUCAUGUUCAGUCUUGUUGCUAUUUGGAGGUUUGAGGUAUACUUUUCAUCUGUAACAUGCAGUUUGUUUGUACUAGAGUACGUUGACAAGGCAUAACUAGGAAUGUAAAUAAGGUUUAGUCAGGCAAAGUUCGUUGGAUCCAAGAAAUUUGGAGCUGAACUUUUUUGUUUUUUUUUUUUUGGCGGGGGGGGGGGGGGGUGGGGGUUGGGAAUUGAGCGGGUAGGCUCAAUUAAAUUAUGAUCAUAGCUUGAGCUUCAUUAGGUUUAGCUGAUUAGAUGAGUGAAUUUAAUUUGUGAGAACAAAAAGAACUUUGUAUAUGUAGUAUUAAUGGUUUCAACUUUGUAUACGUAGUAUUAAUGGUUUCAAUUAUAUGUAGUAUUAAUGGCACAAUACAUAUUCGAAAGUUUCUUAAGUUUCUCCUUCUUAUUUUUUUGUUUCCGACUUGGUCCUCUUGGUUUUGCAGUAAGUUCCUGUUUAUAUGAAAAAGUGGCGUUUGGUAAAAGGGUUUCGGAAUGGGAAAUUGGAAUAAACCCAUGAUUCAUGUUUGGUUCACUAUUAUCGAAAUUGAAAUUUUGGAAUGAUAUCUAAAAAUUUAGCAUUCCACCAUUCCUUAGUAAGUUGGUGGGUUUUGUCCAAAACCCAAGUGUGAUUCCAAAAUCUUAUAAUUACAUAAUAUUUAGUAUAAUUAAUAUAUAUAUUAUAUAUUUAUAUUUAUAUUAUAAUAUAUAGAAUAUAUUAUAAUUAUAAUAUUUUAUUAUAAUUAUAUAAUUUAUUAUAAUAUUAGUAUAUUAUAUAAAUAUAUAUUAUAAUUAUUUAGUUAAAUAUAAAUAUAUUUAUAUAAUAUAUAUUAUAAAAUUAUUAAUAUUAUAUAAUAAUAUAUUUAUAAUAUAUAUGUAUAUUUAUAAAUGUAUAUUAUAUGUGCAUAUAAUUAUAAUAUAUAAUGUAUGUAAUAUUAAUAAGUUAUAUAAUUAUAAUUAUAAUUAUUAUUUUAAAUAUAAUAAUAUAUAAUAAUAACUACAUUUAAUAAUAAUAUGCAUUAUAUUUAUACAAAAUAUUAGUACAAUUAAUAUUUAUAUAUUAUAUAAUUAUAUAUUUAUAUUUAUAUUAAUAUGCAUUAUAUUUAUAUAAAAUAUUAGUACAAUUAAUAUUUAUACAUUAUAUAAUUAUAAUUAUAUAUUUAUAUUAUAACAUUUGUAUAAUUAUAAUUAAUUAUAUAUAUAAUAUUUAAUUUAAUUAGUUACAAACUUAUAAUAAUGAUAUUAUUAUAUUAUUAUAUUAUAUAUUAUAAUUAUUUAGUUAAAUAUAAUUAUAUUUAUAUAAUAUAUAUUAUAAAUUUAUUAAUAUUAUAUAAUAAUAUAUUUAUAAUAUAUAUGUAUAUUUAUAAAUGUAUGUUAUAUGUGCAAAUAAUUAUAAUAUAUACAUGUAUAUAAUAUUAAUAAAUUAUAUAAUUAUAUUUAUAUUUAUUAUUUUAAAUAUAAUAAUAUAUAAUAAAUUUACUAAUACAUUUAUACUAAUAUAUUUAAUUAGUGAAAAUUUCUUAUAUCUCAUUUACAAAUAGCCAAUGACUAUCAUUUACGAUACUGUUUAUAAUAUAUUUAUUAUAUUCCAUUCUGAAAGUGCCGACGAAUCAAACAUCAACUAUAGUAAUGAUAUAUAUUCUAGGUACUUGAACCAAACAGAUAUAUUGAAAUGAAUGAGCGCAUUCCAAAUCCAGGAUAUCCGAUUCCGAAUCCAAAUCUUAUUCCAAUGUGCGAAUCAAACGCCACCUAAAAAGUUUUUAAUUCUUUUCCUGAUAAUAAAUAUUGGAGAUUUUGAAUUCAAAUUUUCCUAUUUAUUUCGUGCUAUUUAAGUCCCACACUCCCACCUUCCUAUUCAAAAAAAUUUUUUUUUUACUUCUUAAAUUUCAUUUUUUUCGGUUGUAAAAUUUUAAACCCCAAAAAAAAAAACCUCCAUUUCAGUGAGGUUGAAUCAUUGGCUCGCUUUAGGCUACAUGACAAUUAGUGUGUUUGGAUUGUAAGUUAUUUGAAAUAUUUUUACUGUAGCACUUUUUGUGAUGUGAUGUAUGUGAGAUAAAAAGGUAAUUGGGAAGAUAAAAAGGUGUAUUGAAAAUUGUAAUGGUGAUGUCAGCAAAUAUAUUUGGCCAAAUAAUUGGCUGUCCAAACACACUCAAUGUUGUUAGAUGUGGCUGAAAUCCAUCUGAUCACCGCUCCGAUGGAUGAUAGGAAGAUGUAAAAUCUUUAGCAAUUUAUCAACGGUCAAGAUUACGCAUCUAUGAUACACGUGUAAGUCACUAGAGGGCGACCCUAAAAUUUGAUGCGGCAGGUUCAGUUACAAUUCUAUAAUCCUUUUCACGGGAAAAAAUCGUCUGCUCCUCGCACAUCAUAACCAUGUUUCGUCGACCACAAAACCUACUCUUUCACUGAUCGAGACGACGCCGUCGCCUGCCGUCUCUGUCGUCGCGAAAUUUGAUCGGAUAUCACCUGAAGUUCAUAGUCAGUUGUCUAGUGUAAAGAUCGUUACUUUCUCCCCUUUUCUCUUCUCUCACAAUCUCUAUUAGUUUAGGGUUUAAGUCUACAUAGUUUUUUACUUUUUUGGGUCAAAUAUGAAUUUUUUUCCGAGAUAAAAUGUUGUUAUUAGAGAAAGACUUAAUAUUUCUGUAUUAUUGUAUUAGAUUUUGAAAGCAGGGAACUGGUUUCAUGUAGCAUUUGGGAGUAAACAUUGAUUGAAGUGGAAAAGCUGAAAAUGGUAAUUUUUUUUUUUUGGCAAAUGAGACGUUACGUUUUACUCUGUUUUCCUGCUUGUUUAAUUAUUGUUUUAUGUGGGAUAAUUGCACGGAGGGUUAAAGAUUUUGCUCGUUUUGUACUUGGCUUGAUGUGCAGAUAAUGGGAUUUGAUUAGUUCAGUUGAUCGACGCCUUGGACUUAAAAAUGUGUUUCUUUAGACUUGACAACAUGUUUUGAACUAUGUCAUUUUAAUCAAGGGUAUUGGCAUUUUGGGGAGCCAUCAGCUGUAUUUACAAAUUUUAACCAGCUCAAGAGUUCAAAUGGACGAAGUACAUGAGUGUUUUAUGGCUUGUGUAUGUCUGUACGUAUUAUAGCGGUAAGAUGUGUGAGUUUGACUUUCAAUUUUUAGUUUCAUCCGUAAUUUACAUCUAGACAAGGUUUAGAUGACGUGCUUGUCAAGGAUAGAUGUUGAUUUGUGGUUGUUUUAGAAAAGUAAGCUACAUCUAGGAGGAAGUGAAUGUUUUGCUUGAGGAAUUGUCGUGUUUGAUGCUUGAAGAAUUAUAUUGAAUUAUGUCAGUUCAACGAACCAGUGAAGAGAAUAGAAACUGUGUUGCUGUGGGAAAUGUGACUAUAAGUCUUGCCAAGCUGCUGUUCAGUAGAUAAAGAACCUGUGAAGUUAUUACACCAUUUCUCGUUUAUUUUACUUUUGCACUGGUAAAAAACUAUCAUCUAAUCGUGCAUGAUAUCUUGUAUGUGCUUCGUAUGACCUUUCAGGCACUGUAGAUUUUCUUUACAACUGGUUUGUUUCUCGGAUAUCUGCUUAUCUGUUUUCAUUCUCCUGUAGUGGAAGUUUGGAAACUUACCUCUGGUACUCUCUUGGCUUAACUUGUCGCCUCCUCUCUCAUUCCCUAUCUACAGUCUAUGCGUUUACUCUUUAACACAAGUAGGCAGAAACCUAUGUAUGGAUUCUUUAACACGUUAGUUCAUGCAUCUAGCCGCAAGCAAGAUUUUAGUUUCUUAUGUAUUUCUUUUGCUCUAUUAUCUAUCUAUCUUGGUAUUCUCACAUAGGAUCUCCUGGUUAUUUGUUUUCUGUUUCUCAUUUACAGUCUUUCCAGGACAAGGGUUAUUGGAUGCCAAAGGGUGGCGGACACCUAGGUGAUGGAGAAACAGUUUUUAGUAACUCCUCUAGAAUUGAAGCGAAGCGCACUCAUCAGUGGUUGUCUGAUGCUGCUGAUCAUGAGGUUUUUUCCACUAAAAAGCAAGCUGUUCAUGUUCCAGUUAGCAAACAAAUUCCAGGAGUCCCCAUGACAAGUCUUGCUUGGGAGAAUGCUUCUGGAUUCCAAUCGGCACCAAACCAAUUCAUUGAUCGGUUAUUUGGUCCUGAUACAACCAGGUCGGCCAAUUUAUCAAGUCGAAACACCUCUCAACUCGAUGUGGAAAACUCCAAUAUGAGAAAAAAAGUCAUAGAUGACCAACUUGGGGGUGACACAUCAGUUGGUUUGUCAAUGUCUUAUCCUUUACAAGAUCCAGAAACUUGUGUCAGCUAUGGUGGAAUUAGAAAAGUUAAAGUCAAUCAGGUUAAGGACUCUGAAAUUGGUUUGCAGGCAGCACAGGAACACAAUAUUGGUGUGUCCUUGGAUCAGGCAUAUAACAGGGAUACUGAAACAGCUUUUGUGUCUAUGGCCCAAGCUUUUGGUAAGGAAGCUGAGAGUGUUACCUUGAUGGGUCAUUCUCAUAGUAGGGUGGAAGUGAAUAUGAAACCUCUGGACUCUACCUUUCCAAAAGGUGAUGAUAGUGCAAUGUCACUCAGCCACUCUUUCAGUAAGGGGGAUUCUAGUACAAUAUCCUUUGGUGGCUGUCAAGAUGAGCCGUAUAUGGAUGUUCUUGCUAGGCCUGUUAAUAGUAGCUAUGACUUGUUGUAUAAUCAGUCUUCCCUUCAAACAGCAGAAAUAAUUGAUGCAAGGGAUUUGGAAGCACCAAUUGCAGUUGCAAGUACCUCGCAAACGCCCAAAGGAAAGCCUGAUUCAGUCACCAAAAAUAAGUCAGAAAUGAAACCAACCAGAAAAGAAGCUCCGAAUAGUUUUCCUUCAAAUGUUAGAAGUUUGAUAGCAACUGGAAUGCUUGAUGGGGUGCCUGUAAGAUAUAUAUCUGUAUCACGAGAGGUAAAUCCUUGUUUUUUUAAUUUUGGUUUAUUGACAAUUAUACUGUUUGGUGGAUCAUUGGAAUCUUGCUGUAUGUAAUCAGGAGCUUCGUGGUACUAUAAAAGGUUCUGGGUAUCUUUGUGGUUGUCAGUCAUGUAACUACUCCAAGGUAAUUCAUCUGCUUAUUCUUAGUUUUUAUUCUCUUUUAUGCGAUCCAACCUCUGAAGCAUGUUUUUGGCUGAAGGCUCUUAAUGCUUAUGAAUUUGAGCGUCAUGCUGGUCAUAAGACAAAGCACCCAAACAAUCACAUAUACUUCGAGAAUGGAAAAACUAUAUAUCAGAUUGUCCAAGAGUUGAGGAACACCCCGGAGAGUUCGUUAUUUGAUGCCAUUCAGAAUGUGACUGGUUCCCCAAUUAAUCAAAAAGCCUUUCGCAUCUGGAAAGGUAGUAUCUUUCUAGUACUCUGUCUCUGUCCACACAUACACCCCCAACACCCCCCCAAGUGGGGCCGGGAACAUGUCAAUUGUUUUUUAAGCCAAUGAGGCCUGUUAUUCAUUUUUUUUUCCCUUCUGUGCCAGAAUCAUUCCAAGCAGCAACCCGUGAGCUUCAGCGCAUAUAUGGAAAGGAGGAACUUAAUCUAUGAUAAAGAAUGGCAACCCAACUGCUGCCCAUUUAAAAUGUGAAAUAGGAUAUCGUUUCUUGUGUGCAUAGAGGUAAAUACUUAGAUAUUUGGUGAAAUAGGGCUCGGGCUCAUUCUCGUUUUGCUGUAAUUUGCUGCUGCAGUUGGAAUGUCACAGUUUGUUAAUCUUCCAACAUGCGAUGUCGAAUGGAGGCAGUAUAACUGCCACAAUAUGUACAGUAUUCUGAAUAUUAUUUUUGGCAUAUUGAAGUCUCUCUUUCUAGAUUUGAUGGUUCUUGGGAAGUUCCUUUUUGUGUUGGUACCAAUCGUGGACUUUCUGAGUAGAAGGAAUCAAUUUCAAGGUUUCCAAAUUCUGCGAGGGGCUAGAGAAUUCACAAUUUGGUUUACCGCAUAUAUUCAUGUUACCGUACCUUCAUUGUUUUCCUAGGGCAUCCGCUUGGAAAAAUUUGUUCGGCAUAACUUCCACCAUUCCAUGGUCAUCUUCAUUUUAUUUGCUGACAUUAUUUUGCCCUAAACAAGAUAGUUUAAGGUUACUGGCUUCUUUUAUCAAAUAAUUGUAGAAGGUGCAUUUUUCUUUCAUUUUCAUACCAUCUUUUACAGAUCUGACAAGAGCAUAGAAAAGAACGACUCCACUGUUGAUCCUUUUAAGAAAAGAAAACCGCCAAGACCUCCCCUUAACUCAGAGAAUUAGAUCGCACCAUUUUGUAUGGGAUUGGCCAGAAUUGUUUUGACAAUUAGUUGACCUUCUACAAGUACCAGUCAUCAAACUUAUGCCUUAUCCAACACAUUCACUAUUGCAAAAAGGGUAACGGCCAGCCAUCUUUUUACUGCUAAUUUCUGAAGCUUACUGCAUUAACUAUGAAGGAAUAUGCAAUCCACAUCUGCACAAAUCUAUUUCACAAUUAAAGAAUAAACAACACUGAAAGGACAAAUUCAGAAGGGAUUACUGAUGAAACCAUUAGCGUCUGGCCACAAUAAGUGCAAGUUUCUCGAUCAGUAAGAGCCAAUCUUACACAAACUAAAAUAAGUCCUUUUAAAGAAUGACAAUUAAUUAAAUUACAUCCACCGACAAUGUUUCGUCACAAUUAGUUUUUGUUUUUGUUCUCUCCUGUCAUUGAGCACCUGAUGUAAGUGCUCAUUAGUAUUCUUCCAGUUCAAGAAC